CUCCCACAUGGUAGGUGAUUCUUGGCCGUUAUCCUUACCCACCUGGGUAACUCCAUGAUCUCCUUACAGUCCGGUCUGC
rnacentral:pre_miRNA from 1 species